rnacentral:rRNA from 1 species
GUGCAGCAGCCGCGGUAAUACGGCGGGUGCGAGCGUUAAUCGGAAUCACUGGGCGUAAAGCGCACGUAGGCGGCUUGUUAAGUCAGAUGUGAAAGCCCUGGGCUCAACCUGGGAAUUGCAUUCGAAACUGCUUGACUAGAGUAUGGGAGAGGGAAGUGGAAUUUCCGGUGUAGCGGUGAAAUGCGUAGAUAUCGGAAGGAACAUCAGUGGCGAAGGCGACUUCCUGGACCAAUACUGACGCUGAGGUGCGAAAGCGUGGGGAGCAAACAGGAUUAGAAACCCGGUAGUCC